rnacentral:rRNA from 1 species
GAUGAACGCUGGCGGCAGGCUUAACACAUGCAAGUCGAACGGGUGUAGCAAUACAUCAGUGGCAGACGGGUGAGUAACACGUGGGAACCUUCCUAGGGGUACGGAACAACUCAGGGAAACUUGAGCUAAUACCGUAUACGUCCGUGAGGAGAAAGAUUUAUCGCCCUUAGACGGGCCCGCGUCGGAUUAGCUAGUUGGUGGGGUAACGGCCUACCAAGGCGACGAUCCGUAGCUGAUCUGAGAGGAUGAUCAGCCACACUGGGACUGAGACACGGCCCAGACUCCUACGGGAGGCAGCAGUGGAGAAUCUUGGACUAUGGGCGCAAGCCUGAGCCAGCCAUGCCGCGUGAGUGAAGAAGGCCUUCGGGUUGUAAAGCUCUUUUGCCAGGGACGAUAAUGACGGUACCUGGAGAAUAAGCCCCGGCAAACUUCGUGCCAGCCGCCGCCGUAA